AUGAUAUAUGUUUAAACAGAAAUGUUCGUGUAGUAAUAUUGGACAUGUUUCUAUUUUUACAAUUGACUGAGCUAAACCAUUUGUGGUACCAACCUAAUCAACGACCAAUACCUUACUUCUCCGACGUACAGACAUGAAAAUAUAAUUACAAACAUCAAACGGAUGGGUUUUUGAAGACGAAAACUCCUACAUACACCAAAUACCACAUUUGUUGUUUCUGUUGACAAUGGAACUCGGCUGACCUAUAGUUGCUAACGUCAAUUGGUCUCUAGUGAAGAGUGGUCUAUAUAGACAAUCUAACCACAUCUUCU
rnacentral:lncRNA from 1 species